GAUGAAGAACGUAGCGAAAUGCGAUAAGUAGUGUGAAUUGCAGAAUUCCGUGAAUCAUCGAAUCUUUGAACGCACAUUGCGCCUCCUGGUAGUCCGGGAGGCAUGCCUGUUCGAGCGUCACCAAAUCCAACUCAAGCGGUUUUGCGCUUGGUCGUGGCGGAAGAGUCGGUCUGGUUGCCGUCUCCCCUCCGAAAAUCAACGGCGGAAAGUCACUGGCAGUCAGCGUAGUAGUAUCGUUCGCCGAACAUCCAGUGGCAUUCCUGCCGACGUACCCCCACAAUUCUCGUGGUUGACCUCGGAUCAGGUAGGGAUACCCGCUGAACUUGAGCAUAUCAAUAAGCGGAGGA
rnacentral:misc_RNA from 1 species